UGGGGAAUCUUGCACAAUGGAGGCAACUCUGAUGCAGCGACGCCGCGUGAGCGAUGAAGCCCUUCGGGGUGUAAAGCUCUUUCGGCAGGGACGAUAAUGACGGUACCUGCAGAAGAAGCUGCGGCUAACUACGUGCCAGCAGCCGCGGUAAUACGUAGGCAGCAAGCGUUGUUCGGAAUUACUGGGCGUAAAGAGUGUGUAGGCGGCCGUUUAAGUUCGGUGUGAAAUCUCCCGGCUCAACUGGGAGGGUGCGCCGGAAACUGGACGUGCUGGAGCGUGGGAGAGGAAAGCGGAAUUCCUGGUGUAGCGGUGAAAUGCGUAGAGAUCAGGAGGAACACCAGCGGUGUAGACGGCUUUCUGGACCACAGCUGACGCUCAUGAGCGAAAGCGUGGGGAGCGAUCCG
rnacentral:rRNA from 1 species